rnacentral:rRNA from 1 species
UACGUAGGGUGCAAGCGUUGUCCGGAAUUAUUGGGCGUAAAGAGCUCGUAGGCGGUCUGUCACGUCGGCUGUGAAAACCCGAGGCUCAACCUCGGGCCUGCAGUCGAUACGGGCAAACUAGAGUACUGCAGGGGAGACUGGAAUUCCUGGUGUAGCGGUGAAAUGCGCAGAUAUCAGGAGGAACACCGGUGGGCGAAGGCGGAUCUCGUGGGC